rnacentral:rRNA from 1 species
GAUGAACGCUGGCGGCGUGCCUAAUACAUGCAAGUCGAGCGAACAGAUGAGGAGCUUGCUCCUCUGACGUUAGCGGCGGACGGGUGAGUAACACGUGGAUAACCUACCUAUAAGACUGGGAUAACUUCAGGAAACCGGAGCUAAUACCGGAUAAUAUAUUGAACCGCAUGGUUCAAUAGUGAAAGACGGUUUUGCUGUCACUUAUAGAUGGAUCCGCGCCGCAUUAGCUAGUUGGUAAGGUAACGGCUUACCAAGGCAACGAUGCGUAGCCGACCUGAGAGGGUGAUCGGCCACCCUGGAACUGAGACACGGUCCAGACUCCUACGGGAGGCAGCAGUAGGGAAUCUUCCGCAAUGGGCGAAAGCCUGACGGAGCAACGCCGCGUGAGUGAUGAAGGUCUUCGGAUCGUAAAACUCUGUUAUUAGGGAAGAACAAAUGUGUAAGUAACUAUGCACGUCUUGACGGUACCUAAUCAGAAAGCCACGGCUAACUACGUG